rnacentral:misc_RNA from 1 species
CUCUCUCUCUCUCUCUCUCUUUCCUCCUAGUCAUGGACUUGUUGUAUGUUGAGAACCAUGCCAAGAGGAGGAGGAAGAUGAGGAGCAACCUCGAUCAGGAUGAUCCACCAUCAACUGGAAUGGAACAUCUACCCCUUGAGAUCGUCCAUGAUAUACUUUCAAGAUUACCCAUCUCUUCUUUGGUGCAAUUCAGGUGUGUUUGUAAAGCUUGGAGAGCCUUAGCACAAGAUCCUCACCUUGUAAAAUUCUAUCUCUCAACUUCAACAACCAAAGAUCCUUGCCUAAUCCUUCACUGCGAUUUUCCCAUCAGGAACCAGCUUUACUUCGUGGAUUUGGCUGCUGCUCCCCACCAAGGAAAAGACAAGGUAAAAAGAAUCAAUGCACCCUUUUGGCCUAUGAUGCCUGAAUUCGAUGUGGUAGGCUCCUGUAAUGGUUUACUUUGUUUAGCUGACUCGCUAUACAAUGAUGCUGUUUAUGUUUACAACCCUUUCACUAGGAACCAUGUAGAGCUCCCAAAAUCGCUGAAAUAUCCUGACCAAGAAGUGGUUUUUGGGUUCGGAUUCCAUCCCAAAACUCAGGAAUACAAGGUAGUAAAGAUUGUAUACUAUAGGAAUGGUCAUAGUAGUUACCCUCGAGCCCGUAGGCUCGUCUAUUCACAAUCUGAAGUCCAAAUUCUAACUCUAGGCAGCCCCAGUUGGCGGAGUCUAGGCAAGAUAUCAUACCAGCUUGUUCGCCGCCCGUCGGAGGCCUUGGUUAAUGGAAGACUUCAUUGGGUUAGUCGACCCCGGAGAUAUAACCCUGCUCGGCGGCUAGUUUCACUUGACUUAGCUGAUGAGCAAUUCAGGGAAGUCCCGAAGCCAGACUGCGGUGGCCUGAGUAAAUGCAACUAUCAUCUUGUUGUGCUGAAAGGGUGCCUUUCUGCUGCUGUGUAUUGCAGCUACGGAAGAUUGGAGAUUUGGGUGAUGAAGGAGUAUAAUGUGAAGGAAUCUUGGGUAAAAGAAUACAGUAUUGGAGCUUAUAUGCCAAAGGGAUUGAAGCAAAAUCUUGACAGGCCUUCCAAGAUUUGGAAGAAUGCUUUGAAUGGAAUAGUUGUUAGAGUUUUAGGCCUUUUGCAGAAUGGUGAGGUUUUGUUGGAGUACAAAAGCAGAGUUCUUGUUACUUACGAUCCAAAUCAAGGAAAGUUUAAGGACCUCACAUUACAAGGGAUACCUAAAUGGUUUCAAACAGUGGUUCACGCAGGCAGCCUCAAUUGGAUUAAUACUCCCAUUGAUACAUAGAAGUUGAUGAUGAUUUCUUCUCCUGUGAGUUUAAAAAUCUUCUGCUCGUGUUCAUUAGUGUCGUAUUAUCAUAUCAAGUUAAUCACAUCCAUGCUUAAUCAAUUAAUUCCUUGUUUGUAUAGAUGAAAUUCAAUCCAUUACCAGAAAUACACUCAUUCUCUAUUGAAUCAGCAAGAUCUUUCUUCAGUCUUAACCAAUCUCAUUGCUUAGAUUGAAAUCCUCAGGAUUAUUUUGUGAAAUGUUUCAUAUGAUUCUAUGGAAAUCUCAGAACUUGUAAUAAUUAGAUUGUCCUCAUUCAAGAGAAGAAAAAUGGUUGAUCUGUGUACAAAUAAUAGAGUUGAGAUUGGAAAGAGCAAAAAAGUCAAAAG